UACGUAGGUGGCAAGCGUUAUCCGGAAUUAUUGGGCGUAAAGCGCGCGCAGGCGGUUUCUUAAGUCUGAUGUGAAAGCCCACGGCUCAACCGUGGAGGGUCAUUGGAAACUGGGGAACUUGAGUGCAGAAGAGAAAAGCGGAAUUCCACGUGUAGCGGUGAAAUGCGUAGAGAUGUGGAGGAACACCAGUGGCGAAGGCGGCUUUUUGGUCUGUAACUGACGCUGAGGCGCGAAAGCGCGGGGAGCGAACAGG
rnacentral:rRNA from 1 species